rnacentral:rRNA from 1 species
ACGACUCUCGGCAACGGAUAUCUCGGCUCUCGCAUCGAUGAAGAACGUAGCGAAAUGCGAUACUUGGUGUGAAUUGCAGAAUCCCGUGAACCAUCGAGUCUUUGAACGCAAGUUGCGCCCGAAGCCUCUAGGCCGAGGGCACGCCUGCCUGGGCGUCACG